rnacentral:rRNA from 1 species
AGGUAAUAGAUACCCGGGUAGUCCACGCCCUAAACGAUGUCGACUGGUUGUUGGGGGUUCGACACUCUCAGUAAACGAAAGCUAAACGCGUGAAAGUCGACCGCCUGGGGAGUACGGCCGCAAGGUUAAAACUCAAAGGAAUUGACGGGGACCCGCACAAGCGGUGGAUUAUGUGGAUUAAUUCGAUGCAACGCGAAAAACCUUACCUACCCUUGACAUGUCCGAGAGCCCGGUGAGAGCUGGGUGUGCCCGAAAGGGAAUCGGAACACAGGUGCUGCAUGGCUGUCGUCAGCUCGUGUCGUGAGAUGUUGGGUUAAGUCCCGCAACGAGCGCAACCCUUGUCAUUAGUUGCUACAUUCAGUUGGGCACUCUAAUGAGACUGCCGGUGACAAACCGGAGGAAGGUGGGGAUGACGUCAAGUCCUCAUGGCCCUUAUGGGUAGGGCUUCACACGUAAUACAAUGGCGCGUACAGAGGGUUGCCAAGGGGCGACCUGGAGCCAAUCCCUUAAAGCGCGUCGUAGUCCGGAUUGCAGUCUGCAACUCG